AGAGUUUGAUCAUGGCUCAGAAUCAACGCUGGCGGCGUGCCUAACACAUGCAAGUCGAACGCGAAAGUCCCGCAAGGGAUCAGUAGAGUGGCAAACGGGUGAGUAACGCGUGGGUGACCUGCCUUCGAGCGGGGGAUAACGUUUCGAAAGGAACGCUAAUACCGCAUGACAUCCUGCCUUUGAAGAGGUGGAGAUCAAAGCUGGGGAUCGCAAGACCUAGCACUUGAAGAGGGGCCCGCGUCUGAUUAGCUAGUUGGUGAGGUAACGGCUCACCAAGGCUACGAUCAGUAUCCGGCCUGAGAGGGCGGACGGACACACUGGGACUGAGACACGGCCCAGACUCCUACGGGAGGCAGCAGUGGGGAAUUGUUCGCAAUGGGCGCAAGCCUGACGACGCAACGCCGCGUGGAGGAUGAAGACCUUCGGGUCGUAAACUCCUUUCGAUCGAGACGAAAGACUUCCGGGUGAACAAUCCGGGAGAGUGACGGUACCGAGAGAAGAAGCCCCGGCUAACUCCGUGCCAGCAGCCGCGGUA
rnacentral:rRNA from 1 species